rnacentral:rRNA from 1 species
CUUGCUUUCUUUGCUGGCGACCGGCGCACGGGUUAGUAACACGUAUCCAACCUGCCCUUUACUCGGGGAUAGCCUUUCGAAAGAAAGAUUAAUACCCGAUAGCAUAAUGAUUCCGCAUGGUUUCAUUAUUAAAGGAUUCCGGUAAAGGAUGGGGAUGCGUUCCAUUAGGUUGUUGGUGGGGUAACGGCCCACCAAGCCUUCGAUGGAUAGGGGUUCUGAGAGGAAGGUCCCCCACAUUGGAACUGAGACACGGUCCAA